rnacentral:piRNA from 1 species
UGAGUAAGAAUAUAAAAAAGUAAUCUUCUA